GAAAACAACGGUGUAGAAGAAAAAAUAACUAAAAAGAAGACACAGUCUCCGUGGGACUUUUCUUCUUACACUGAAUCAAUUGCAGAGGAACACGCUCGCAGAAGCACUAUAUUGAUGAAAAAGUUUCGAAGCUUAUCCAACAGCGUGGUCAUGCGAAAAUAAUACCAGAAAAAGAUGAGGUUGAUGAAGAUGGCUCUUCUGAUUCUGAGCCAGACCGUCAGGUGAAUUGAGUAACAGAGUGAGAGGAUGAAAACGAAUGAAAACGAAUGAUGACGUCUGACAGUAAUAAUAUUAAGUAUUAGCAUAAAUUAAGUUCAUGUGUGGAAUCAUCCUCGAUGCCAAAUGUAUUGUCAGUUUCAACACUUAAUGUAGCUCCACUUUCGUUUUCAAUGAAUCAUCGAGUCGGGGGUGAUGGCGAA
rnacentral:lncRNA from 1 species